AUGGAUGCCAAUAAGAGUAUAAAAGAGAAUCCAGUGAAUGAGACUCUGCUUGCAGCUGCUUUAUUACCACCUGUUGUAGCUGCAUGGUGAAUUGCAAGUUUGUGAGGUUAGAAAUUGUAAUAAUAAGUGGCAAUUGGUGGCUUCAACGAUUUAUGAUACAUGAUUAGAUGUACUUCACAAGGAAAUUGAUUAUACAUGUAUACUUCUAGGUACAAUAAAAAAAUUAGAAUGGAACUGGGUGCAUGUAUAAUUUUUUUAUACAUGGUGACAAAUAUUACUUAAAACUCACACACACAGUUGAUAUAUUGGACCAUGCUAUCUAAUCUAACAAUAUUGGCGUUGGUUCAAUGCAUAUCGAUUAAAUUUAAUGUAUUAUGGGUACGAAUAUU
rnacentral:lncRNA from 1 species